rnacentral:misc_RNA from 1 species
ACAAAUAUCAUUUACCUUCUUAUUUUUUUUACAUUCCACAAACUAAGAUAUCUAGAACUUGAUAUGUGCUUCUUCCGCCCUCCACCUAAUUUCAAAGAGUUAACAAAACCUGUUAGUCUUAAUCUUCAAAGUGUCAUUUUUUAUCCAACAAUAUUUAGGUUCUCGCAUCCAAAUGGCCAUUGAUUGAAAGUUUGAGGUUGACUAGGUGCACCGAAUUUGAUAUUCUUGAAAUUGAUGCUGCCAAUCUCAAAUGCUUCGGCUUUUUUGGAACAUUAAAGUCCAUUUGCUUAAAGAAUGCCCCGAUACUUAGAAGUGUCAUUGUGUGGCUCAACUCAGGUCAUGAGUUUUGGUGGGGAUCCGUUACCUUUUUGUUCUAAUCUUACAAAGUUAUUCCAUUUACAUGCCAUCCCCCAGAGGAGUUGGAACUAGGCGGUUCAUCAAUAGAGGUUACGUGAUUACAAGCUGUGCUAAAUUACAAGAAGUUACAAUUGAAUGUGGAGUUGUAGGGAUUGCUGUGGAACCUGUUAUACAAUUAUUACAAGCUAAAUCAUUCUCAUGUGGUGCUGUGAAGCUGCUUCAAAAUGUGGAGAUGCAUUAUUUUAUUGGUUUUGAGAUGGAAAUUGAAUUUGUGAAGUCUAUAUUGGCAUCUGCACCUGUACUGAAGGAGAUCUUUAAUGGAUGAGAUGAAACUAUUCCAUCGAGAAUCACCCUACGUUAGAUUCAAAUUUGAAGAAAUAU